CCUGGCCUGAGGGGAGGCGGGCGGUGGCGGGCGGUUCUGCCCCUGCUGCCCUCAGGGCCGCCCGCGGCCUUUUCCGCGGCCCCCGCCUGCCCCGAGGCCGCCUCGCUGCGCGGGGCUUCGUGUGGCAGCCCGGAGGGGACUCAAGAUGGUUCCUCCCCUCAGCCCCGCGGCGGGAAGGGAGCCGCGAAGGAAUAGAGAUCGCGAUAGUCCGGCUGGGGCCGCAUGCCUCUCACCGCGGCCCGUUCCCCAGUAACGCCGCAGCAACGCCGCGAUGGUGGGGUUGGUCUCAAGCAGCGGCUGCCGUGCGGUUCCCCAGGCUCAGAGCUGCGCUCGCACGCCUGACCGAGACUGAUAAAUCUUUCAUGCACUCACACAGGCUGUUUCUCUCAGCAGAGCAGAAUAAGAGGGUUUACACGGCAAGUUGUGGCUGAAGGACAGCAGCUUCACUUAGAAAGGGAGGACUGCAACUCUGUGAGCUCUGCAGCUUGACAGGUCCCAAUCCAUUGCCUGGACAUGAAGGUUUGUCUUAGGAGUUUCCAAAAGCUCCUCUUGGGAGUGAACAGUGCCCUCCUGAUCCAAGUGAGUUGGAGUACCUCACACCACAUAGCUGUGUCUGUGAUGGAAGCUGCAUUAACUGUUUCACUGGAGGAAAAAAGUCCUGCCAGCCCCAUGAUUAAUUGAUGAAGCCUCAUUUCUGUGAGUUUCUGUCUCAUGCUUGACUGGGAGCUUGACCUGAAUCUUGCCCUACAAUUGGGUCAUUCUCUACCCAGCUGGGAGAGAGCAGGAUGAGUUCUGCCAUGGUGGGCAUAUGCACCCUGCUGCGAUUUCCAGGCUGAGUUGGAAAAUGAAGAAACCUCCUUCUUCCAAAUGUUAGGUUGUUUCAUGAUUGGCAGAACUGCUGUAGUCCAGUUUCCUACAGAUUCAUACCUUGCAGAGGGUGAGCACCCUCAGUGAAGAGGCUUGUAGGAUAUUACUGACCAGGAUUAGCUCUUGGACCUUUAUCCCUCUGUUUUGUUUAAAACAAACCGGUGAAUUCAGCACUUCCUGAGCUUGUAGGAGGUAAGAGACAGGACCAGGGGAAAGAAAGAUCCAGUGAGUUUAAUGGUGUCAGUCUCAAUUCUAUGGGAAAAAAAAGGUCUUGAAAACUACCCUUUUAACCAGGAGGAGUUAAACCAGGAUGAAAUCUGGCAAGAAUUUGACCCUCCACCACUGUGAAAGGGGUGAUUCUGCACAGAAGGAGCAGAACUGGGACACCCAGUAACAUUUCCUUGCUCCUUCCCACCCUAAAACAUGUUCUGCAGCGUGGUUUCCAAAGUUCUGGGACUUGAGGGUGUGCAGGAUACUCCUUCCAGAGCAGACAUCUGCAUAAAUUGCCAUAAUAAUAAUACUGUAAAGCAGUAGGAAAAGCAGUUUUUCCCUCCUACGUGCUCUCUACCCCUGCUCAUUCCCAAUGCUCCUGAUAAUAUAAAAUGUACAUAUUCUCCCAGUUCAUCAUUUUGUGGCCACAAUCCAAUAAACUCCUCAAAGUUUUCUCCUCCUGCUCUCCCCACAGCCCCCUUCUUGCCUCCAGCCUCCCAGAGACAUCCCCAUCCCUCACACGAGCCUGGGCUCUUUCCCUGCUGCAGGAAACUCGCACAAGCAGACACGGGGGGAAAAGGGGAUGAAGCUGCUUUGAGAAGCAGGAGAGGAGCUGGCCUGUAGUGAGGGAAGGAUGUGGCUGCUAAGCUUCUGCCAAAAGUGGAGAUUUAAAAAGCUGCCACACAAUGCUGGGACAGCGUUUACGCAGGAGCGGCUCAAGACAGCAGCAACUGGUUCCCAUCAAGUGAGGACUGGUUGUAUCUGCAAGUAUGAUCAAGCCAUCCUAACAGCAAGGUCUGGAAGGACUGGCUAGUGUGGUUUCUGAAAUUCACAUGGCAGCAGAAGACAAAAUCCAUUCUCCAGCCUUUAUUCAUGGGGUUCAGGGCAACAUAAACAAUAAUAAAGAGUAGGGAUGACUAAAAUGGGAAGGCUGGUUUUGCGGGCAUGACAGGAGCAAAAAUAGACAUAUUUUAUAAAUAAAGAUGUCCUGGAAAUUAGAGACUCCCAAGUUUCAUGCUCACCAGUUCAGCUGUUCUGGCUGGGGGUCCUCUCCACCAGUAGUGCUCAGGGGAUUUGUGAAGGCAUAAAUGAGCAGUAAUAUAAGCACAUGCAUGAGAUUCCCUUCGUGUAAACCAGCCUCAUUAGUUGAUCGACUUGGGGAUGUCAUUUUAACCAACAGACUCUAGUUAAAUUAGAGCUGGGGGUUUGCUCAGAAUAGGUUAAAUCCAAGUAUUUGAAGAGAGCUGCACAUGUAUUUUCAUUAAGCCCAAGACUGCUGUAUGUGUUGUUAAAGAACUCAAAGUACACCAGUGUGGCUUGAGAAAAGAAAGCUUUUGAGCUGACCUUCUUCCAGGAGAAUGAAUUCAUGUCUUCAGAAGUGAGCAAGCCUCACUUCAGUGAUCUUAUCUCAAAAAAAAAAAAAAAAAGGCAAUAAGAAAAUGAGAAGAGACACGGAGGAGGGCGGUAAGGACAGUGGAAGUGAUGGGAUAGAUACCAUAUGAGGAGGAAAGACUAGAAAAACAAGGAGACUCCAGUGUGGAAGAACAAAACCUUGGGGCAAAUAAAGACAGAGAAGUCUGGAGAGGUCAAGAGAGGUCUGGUAUGGACCUGGAAUUCUUUUUCCCUUUUCUUCACAACACAAGAACAUGGAGAGAAAUGUUCAGGAGCCAGGUCUCAAGCAGACAAAAGGAAGUACUUUUUCACACAACACAUAAUUACAUUGUGGAACUUAUUGCCACAGGAUGUCAUGGAGGCCAAAAGUAUAAAUGAAUGAGGAAAAAAAAAAAAACCAACAAAAGGGAUUACACAAAUUCAUGCAACCUCCGGCUUAGGAAGUCCCUCAACUGCUGAUUACCAGGAGCCAGGAGGAAAUGCCAGAGGAAGGAUCACUUUAUACUCUCCCUCUUCCGAUAUCCCUUCCUAAGCAUCUGCAGCUGGCCACAGCCAGGCCCUGGUUGCUGCUCAAGGUGGACGUUUAUUCUGAGACAGUUUGACAAUGUUUAGAUCCUCCUGGGAACUCCCUUAUGGAUGGAGCCUUAGGGACCAGAGGUGUCUCCUGGAGAGAUGCAGGACUGACCCCUAAUUUUGUUACCUGCAGCCCGAUGCGGUCACAGCAAAGUCCGUGGUGGCCACUCUUUGCUGAUUUAGGCUGGUGUAAUUGAGGCCAGAUUGAGGCCUGGAACCUUCAGAGAGACUCUUCCGCUUUCCCUGCCCCUGGGAUUAAGCACUGAAAUCUCUGUGCUAAAACCCUCUUUGAACGGGGAUGGCAGAUAAUGCACAAACUGAUUAAAAAAAACCCCCAGCACUGGGGAAAGUUAAAUAUUAAAGAGCCAAGGCCCAGUUUUAACUGCUGCUGCCGUCCCUCCUUCGUCUCGUGCCAACUGCCUCCAGGAUACAUGUGCUGACACUGAAUUUCUACCUCACAAAAGCGGCCGCAGCAUGGGCUUUAAAACUCAGUCCAUUAAUACUGGGAUAGGAAGCAGAAAAAUAGAACAAAGGCAGCGAGGGACUCCUCUGGUUCCCUCUCUGACCAUGCCCAAUCCAUCCUUGCAGCAUCACAGGGCAUGGUACCCCUACCCCAGUGAGGCAUUUUGCCCCUCUGACUUCCCAACAUUAGUUGGUUGAAAAUAUUUUGCUGCCUGCUUUGCCCUGCUGUAACUAAACUAUAAUUUUCACUAGCAGAGAGGAGGGAUUUGGCAGAAACAUCUGGUCUCAUUUCAUCAGGAUAACAGCUCCGUCUCUAUUUAUACACGCGCCGGGAUGGUUGUGGCUCUCAGCUGUUCUCCUCCCGACAGUCCCUUUCAAGCUGCCGUGUCCUGCUCUGUUGGGGCAGGCACCGGGUCGAGGCCAGCCCUGCUGCCACGUGAAACAGGAACCAGGCCCAAAAAUGUGAGCUUGUGAGAGCUUGUCCCCUCCACACCUGGGGCUUGCUGUCUGCCACGCUGGUGACAAUGUGCUUUGAUGGAUGGUUGCUCCUGUCCUUGUAUCCUGCUGGGAAGAAAACAGGGAAAACCCAUCUGACUAGACAGUUUGCUGGAACUGGAUGAUCCUUAAGGUCCCUUCUGACCCAAACCAUCCUUUAACUGAAAAACAAUUUUCUUGGUAAUCCCAGAGACUUUGCUGGUCAGGGAUCGGGCUUGCAAUGGGUCAGCCUUAUUGGUCUGAAUACACCAACCUCAAUAGUCUGAAUUUUUCUCUGAAAUCACAAUGUGGAUUUUGGAGGAAAGCUCAGACCAUUGAGGAAAGACCAGCCAGCUCUGGCUUUUCUGUAAGGUGUUAGCAAAUAAACUGUGACCCUACAGAGACACGGGAAGGUCAGGGACUCUGCUUGGGAAGGCAGCACGUCCUACUUAAUUCACCAGAGUGGGAAAAAUCCACUCUGCUGCCUCCCCUCCAGUGCACACGAGACAUCACAUCUCAUCCAGCAUGUUUAAAAAAACCCUCCAGUCAAAUGGCCAAGUACCUGGAAAAUUACCACGUAGCACAUUCAGCAGUGCAAGUCACCAUCUGAGAGGAGUGCUCAUACCCCAAAUGUGCUGGGGUGUGGGUCAGCAUUAAUCAUCUCAAGCAAGUCUAUCCCACUGCCCCCUUUUCCCUCAAACAGGCUGUGCCUCUGCUCCCAUCCCAAUCCACUUACAGCCCCACGUGCCCCCGACACACAGCUAUUUCAGCAUCACUCCCCCUCCUGUUUUCAGCAGCUCUGGACUGUUCAUUAAUUAUUUUCUUACACUCAGCUGCUGAAGGAGGAACCACUUGGAGACACGGGGUUUUUGUAACCCAAAUGAGACCAGCGUUUUCAGAUGCUCCUAUUGAUUGUACUAAGGUUGCAAACUCCCUGGAGCAGGGUUGAAUUUCACCCUGCAUUUAUACCCUCUGAUGUGAUCCUGCCCCUUCAAUAUACUCCUUCAGAACGCUCUUCUCAGCUGUGACCUGAGGUUGAGUAGAUCAAUAUUUGUUUACUCAGCUUGGGUCUAAUUUUCAUAUGUGCUGGGUAAUCCAAGUCCACCUGAAAGCAGCAGAAAGGGCCAUUCCUGCCUGUUGUGUGAAUCAGACUGAAAUGUGGACCCUGCCUGAAACACCAGCCUUUUGGAGCAACUUGAGGCAGGAAAUAUGACUCAGUCUUGGGAGAACACCAUCCAAAUAUAAACCCUGGUGAUGCUGUGGAUCGUUCGGGCUAAGGGGUCACCAGCUGAAUGCUUGUGAGCUCUUCACUUCCAUGACUUUUCUGGCUGAGAAACAUUUUUCUUCCUCAUUUGAGUCACUCCUUUUGUGGCACAUCAAAUAUUUUUUCAAAAUGUGUCAGAAGUGCACCAAACCAGCCAAUUUCUAUGUAAUUGCUGAGUUCUCUCAACCUAAGCAAAACUAUUCAGAGGAGACUAAGGGAGCAACCUGAGAUAAUUGCACCUUGUCCUUCCAACGGGAUGUUCUUAGGGUGAAAUGUGCCUUCAUCCCAACUCAUUUAUAAAAAGCAAAGGUGAAGUCAUAUGCAGCAUUAAAUAAAGUUUUUUUUUUCCUUCCCCAUGGGAUUUGGAAAUGAGGGAAAUGAAGAAAGGCUGGUGCUGGCAUAGAAAGGUCUGAUUUUGGAACUUUUCUUUGGAAACAAAGCUUAAGGAAUGGCUGGAUUUGGCCAUGCCAAGGUACCUGAAGUCUGAUUAAAGGCUCUCACAAGUCAGCACAGAACCCUUGUUAAAGAAGGUGGAGGUUCCUCUCUGUCUGCUGGAGCUGCUCAAAUCCUCUUCCAUGACAACACAUCCCCUCACCUUGCAGGUCAGGAAUAUCCAGACAUAAAAAAUCCUUCAGCCUGUCAAAAACAGUCAGCUGGCUUUAAAGCCCAAAUGGCUUUUUCUUUUUUAAAUUUCUCCUUUCAGUAGUGGAUUCCUGUCUGCUGCUGCCCUGACUUUAAAACAAAAUAACCAGCCUCCAGCAACCUUCAGAACAGAUCUGUGAAACUCUCCAACUGACUAUAACAAGCAAAGGCAA